GGGCCCGCACAAGCGGUGGAGCAUGUGGUUCAAUUCGAAGCAACGCGAAGAACCUUACCAGCCUUUGACAUGCCCCGUAUGGUCGUCAGAGAUGACUUCCUUCCCGCAAGGGGCGGGAGCACAGGUGCUGCAUGGCUGUCGUCAGCUCGUGUCGUGAGAUGUUGGGUUAAGUCCCGCAACGAGCGCAACCCUCGGCCUUAGUUGCCAUCAUUCAGUUGGGCACUCUAAGGCGACUGCCGGUGAUAAGCCGCGAGGAAGGUGGGGAUGACGUCAAGUCCUCAUGGCCCUUACAGGCUGGGCUACACACGUGCUACAAUGGCGGUGACAGUGGGAUGCAAUGGAGCAAUCCUGCGCAAAUCUCAAAAAGCCGUCUCAGUUCGGAUUGUGCUCUGCAACUCGAGCACAUGAAGUUGGAAUCGCUAGUAAUCGCAGAUCAGCACGCUGCGGUGAAUACGUUCCCGGGCCUU
rnacentral:rRNA from 1 species